UCAGCUAGUAAGGUUUCUGGUCCAGUUGCUAUUAUUGCUGUUGGGGCAGAAGUUGCAAGGUCAAACAUUGAUGGACUUUACCAAUUUGCCGCUGUACUCAAUAUUAACCUUGCAUUGAUAAAUCUUUUGCCUUUGCCUGCUUUAGAUGGAGGCUCUUUAGCAUUGAUUCUUAUAGAGGCAGCCAGGGGUGGGAGAAAGCUUCCUUUAGAAAUAGAGCAGCGAAUUAUGUCAUCAGGGAUCAUGCUUGUUAUAUUGCUUGGGUUGUUCCUUAUCGUUCGGGAUACGCUAAACCUUGACUUCAUUAAAG
rnacentral:misc_RNA from 1 species